UACAGAGGUCCCAAGCGUUGUUCGGAUUCAUUGGGCGUAAAGGGUGCGUAGGUGGCGCCGUAAGUGGGGUGUGAAAUCCCGGGGCUUAACCCCGGGACUGCAUUCGAUACUGCGGUGCUUGAGGACUGGAGAGGAGACUGGAAUUUACGGUGUAGCGGUGAAAUGCGUAGAUAUCGUAAGGAAGACCAGUGGCGAAGGCGGGUCUCUGGACAGUUCCUGACGCUGAGGCACGAAGGCGAGGGGAGCAAACGGG
rnacentral:rRNA from 1 species